rnacentral:rRNA from 1 species
AGCGUUACUCGGAAUCACUGGGCGUAAAGGGCGCGUAGGCGGAUUAUCAAGUCUCUUGUGAAAUCUAAUGGCUUAACCAUUAAACUGCUUGGGAAACUGAUAGUCUAGAGUGAGGGAGAGGCAGAUGGAAUUGGUGGUGUAGGGGUAAAAUCCGUAGAUAUCACCAAGAAUACCCAUUGCGAAGGCGAUCUGCUGGAACUCAACUGACGCUAAGGCGCGAAAGCGUGGGGAGCAAACAGGAUUAGAUACCCUGGUAGUCCACGCCCUAAACGAUGUACACUAGUUGUUGGGGUGCUAGUCAUCUCAGUAAUGCAGCUAACGCAUUAAGUGUACCGCCUGGRGAUGUAC